AGAGUAGCUAAGGUGGAAGUUUUUCGACAAUUUUAAGAUAAUUAAAUAUGUGAAAGUGCGAUUAAUGGCGAUCAGGCCCCGUAGUUUUAUUGCGUGUGUUGUUCAAGGCGUUUUGUGCACGUCGUUGUGUACGCUAAACCCGUUUUCUGUCGGUAAAUACGACUUUGUACUUUGUUAAUGCUAUAGCUAGCCGGCUGACUUCCAGUCGUGCGCUCGUCGUCCUUUCUGACGGAGCGCUCGUUUUUAAUCACCAGCAGAGCCAGAUGGCGGUGCCUUCAAACAACGCCUCAUUGUUGGUUCCUCGCACACAGAUUGCCGAUGAUGGACUGCAGCUUUAGUAGAUCCAUCCCAUAAUAGGAACCCUCCAGAAGCUCAAGGAUGGUGGCCAGCUAGAAUGAUCAAAUCGACCAACUUGAGGAUGAUGAUCCUUUGUUUUUUGGGUGAUGAUCUUGUGUGAUAAAUAUAAUUAAUAGAACAGAGUGAUGCUUCACCUUGACAUCAUCUUUUGCAGCUUCCCUAAGCUUUUUCAGCCUGAGCUCUCCCUCGCAGGGGUUGACCGCUGACGGAGGAGCGAUGCAGGCGCACUUACACUCCGGACCGGAUGUGAUGGUCUCCACCGUGUAUGUAUCCUGCGCGCCCGCGCUGCCCUCCUCUAUCCGUCGGCAGGCGCUCCUGCUCAGGGGUCUGACAACACAUUUACAGCCACAGUCAGAGCCUUCCGAGACGGCUUUCACUUUGUCAUAAUCACCCAGCAGCUACAAAGACAAAAAGGACGGGAGGAUGAGGUGAGAAAUUCGGCUCCACAGUCCACCGUACUUGUUCAGGUCCAUCCUGUCGAAGGCCAUGGGGUGGUCAUGGGAGAGAAACUUCCUCUGGAGGUGGUCAUCCACCAUCUCCUCCACGCUGCUAAGAGAAGCCCCGACAGGAAUCUCCUCCUCGUCCUCCAGCAGCACGGUGAAGAUGAGAAACGUCUUCUUGUACGCAGCAUUCUCAUGGUCGCAGUAGCGGUAGAAAAUUAGGGUGGAGCCUGGAGGCAGCUGCUCGAAGCGAUGGAUGACUGCCACAGGUUUGUCUCCCUCAAAGGCUCUCUGCAGCUGCCCAUCAAUGUCCAGCUUCACCUGGUCGCUGUCCUCACCGACUUUGCUGGUGCAGUCUAUGUGAAGGACGGUAGCGUUGAGGGCAGUGGAGAAGGCGGAGGCCAGGUCGUGGGCAAGGCACCGCAGCGUCCUCCUGCCUGAGACUCCCGCUGUCAAGAUCAGACUGACUGGCUCGCUGGGCUGAGGCGCUAGGAGGUGCCUCUUCAGGUGGAUCCUGCUCCUGCUCCACAGCUCUGGACGCUGGUGAGGGAAGCGAGUCUUGACUUUGUCCAUUUCCUUAAGGAAGAUGUCGAUCUGCGGAACACUGCUUGGUAGCGGAGGCUCAGGCUGGAGGAGAUGCUGCACCAGGAUGGCGACAAGUACCACCAUGCUAAGUGCUAUCAGGUAUCUUGUAACUGUAUGGACAGAAGAAUGUACAGUAUGUUGGACAUAUACAUUAUUCAUCACUAUCCCCUUCUUCCAUUUUGUCAGCACUCUCACUGCUCUACAGCACACAGUAAGGUUAUCAAGGCGAGGGUUGUCAUUAAUAUCAUCAAUUACUGUACAUGGCACACCUCCAGGACUGGUAGUGACUUCUGUUGCUAAACCAGCUUCCUGAGUGGUUGGACCAAUGGUCUCCACUUUACUCCUUAGGUCAUCCAAUGGCUCCUCCAGCAACACUUUUUCAGGACUUGAACCGGUGUUCAGGCCUAGUCCAAUAUCUGAUCAACGAGAGGGAGGAAUGUAAACAAAAUAAGCAGUUUUAUAUUUACAUGUACUAUUAUGGCAGUACACAAGGGGAAAAGAAGUUUCGCUUACCUUUUUCCUCAUUGUUUGUGUCUUCUUGGAGCACUGCUGUGGGACCGUCUACCUGAUUGUAGUUUGUGUCGCCCACCAUUGCUUCUGUCAUCUCUUCCAGCGCUUUAUCAUUCCUCGGUUGGUCCUCUUCAGCUAGAGUAAAAAAUUAGGUGUCCGCAUUAAAUUAACUACAAUGUAACUACAGUCACUUCACAAAAAUACUGUGAGGCUGUCAUGGAGAUAGGGGAACACUGACCAGCAAACUCCUCUGCUUUCAUUGCCGGCGCUUCAUCUCUCUGCACCCCUCUGCCAUCAUCACAGUCAUCUCUGCCGUGGUCUGGUGGAGGGGAGGCGGCACUCGUCUCCACGUUGUUCUUGCCGAGCUCACCUUGACUCCAUCCAUCAUCUGUCAAAGGCACAGACCUCUCCUCAGCCUGAUCACGAUCUGCAGAAUAGGAUUAUGAACAAAAUGCUAAAUACCAUAAAUGCUGUCUUAUUCAGUCACCAUGUGUGUGGUCUACAUAAGCCAUUCACUGCAGAGGUCUCUUGAUUAGCGCUGGUGUAAUGACGAGACUUGUGCCCUCAUCGACUUGUGCCACCUAGCGCUACUGUGCAUGCAUAUAACAAAGAAACCUGUUUUCAAUGUUCUAACCGUCAAAUUAUGUCACUUUUUAGGGAGAGUAGAGUGUUAUGACAAAAUAACCCAAUUUGUGUAUGGAAUUAUAGAUUAUUUUGACUGGCAAAAUGUUUUAUGACUAUAUCCUCCCCAGGUAAUUGCAGUGUCAUAUUGUUGCAUUAUAUAUGUAACGGAUGCCAGCCUGUGGGCUGUGCGAAUGCACAUUGGUAAAACCUCACUCCCUCUGCCUUAAGAGCUGCACUGAACACGCGGCCGACAGUCCGGGCUUUUAGUCGCAUGGUCAUCGCCCUCGCCUCCCAUUACGAAGAUCCUGUGUUCAAGCCCCGGUGCAAUGCGAAACAGGGCG